rnacentral:sRNA from 1 species
AGUGGCAAUCUCUCUUCCGCCCCGUCGUGCUUGCACGUAAGGGACGGAAGAGAGAUUGCCACGCCCUUAUAUGAGGAAGUAAUGGGGCAGGGGCCCCAUGGAUUCCGAAUAUAAGGGAGGAUUGUGGAAGCCGCAAAGCGGCGAAACAAUCCGU